rnacentral:rRNA from 1 species
GACGAACCAUGCGAACGUUAUUCGGAAUCACUGGGCUUAAAGCGCGUGUAGGCGGGCCGCCACGUCGGCUGCUGAAAUCCCCCGGCUCAACCGGGGAAGUGGCACCGAUACGAGCGGCCUCGAGGGGGGUAGGGGGGUCUGGAACUUCCGGUGGAGCGGUGAAAUGCGUUGAGAUCGGAAGGAACGCCCGUGGCGAAAGCGAGGUCCUGGACGUUUUCUGACGCUGAGACGCGAAAGCCAGGGGAGCAAACGGG